UAGGAAAAAUAAUACCCAUCCUCUUCUUUCUUCUCUCUCUCUUUUUUUCGUUCUCCAUCUGCCCAUGCCAACUUCAUCUCUGUGUAAAUUUUCAAUAGCCCUCUACUCCCUCCGAUCAGCUACCGCGAAUCCUCCGGCCGCUCCACCGUGAAACAUGUAAUACACUCCAUCAGUCCAAGCUCUCAAUUCCCCAUUCUUCCCCUCAAUUUUGGAGCUUAGGUUGCAAACCCACUUCCACUAAUCUUUGGAAAAUUGUUGAAUUUAGAGGUGAACACGGUGCAAGCACAAGCAAUAAGGGAAAGGAGCACCUCCCUGGUUGACUAAGCCAGUAAUAGCGUUUUUUUGACGUGUACAGAGUAUAGAAGCGAGUGAGCUCGCUAGUUGGCAGCAGCACGUGUCAAGUCACUACCCUCCCUUUUUGCUGGUAAAGUUGGAGUUCUCACGUGGCAUGCUUAGGCUAACUUUUGGUUGUUUGUAGUUAGUUGGAAAUGUAAGGUUAUAACCUUCUUUUUGCUAGUGAAGUUGUAUAAAUAUCUAUCGAAACAGGUUAAUGUUGUUUUGUUAUGUACAGUAGUAAACAGUUGUGUUAUCAGGUUUAGUUUCUUUUA